rnacentral:misc_RNA from 1 species
CUGAGUUUUGGGUUAUCUUCUCGAUACCCGAUCUCCCACCCUUUGUUUAACUACAAUUUGUUGCUUUGGCAGGACUGUCCUGUUUUCUUCUUCGGGAGGAGACUUGACUGCCGGAGGACGGUUUUACGACCACCUCUGGAUUGAUUUGCCUGUCAAUAGCCAAUUGAAAUUCUUUUUUAAUUAUGUCGUCUGACUUCUUUAAAUAAAUUUUUAUUUA